rnacentral:RNase_P_RNA from 1 species
GCAGAAAUGUGGUCUGUCGCUUGCCGACAUACUGCGGCAAGAGGAAAGUCCGGGCAACACAGGGCAUCGCGUUUUCUAACGGAAAGCCGGCGGCGACGUCGGGGUGAUAUGUGACAGAAAACAACCGCCUGCGCCUUCGGCGCAGGUAAGGGUGAAAAGGUGAGGUAAGAGCUCACCGGCUUCGUCGGCGACGGCGAGGGCCGCACAUCCCGCGAGUUGCAAGGCCAAAUAUACCGGCAGUUAAGGAUGGCUCCGUCCAUUGCCGGGGGGUAGGCUGCUAAAACUCCUGGGCAACCUUGCAGUUUAGAUAAAUGACAGACACCGGAGCACUUCCGGCACAUAACCCGGCUUACAUCAUCUCUGCCAUA